CUAUGAAUCACUGGGGAUCUUGUUAAAAUGCAGAUUCUGACUCAGUCCUGCACUGUGCUUGAGAUUUUGCAUGUCUAACAGGCUCCCAGGUGCUGACAAA
rnacentral:pre_miRNA from 1 species